UACGUAGGGUGCAAGCGUUUGUCCGGAAUCAUUGGGCGUAAAGAGCGUGUAGGCGGCUCGAUUAGUCCGCUGUAAAAGUCCAGGGCUCAACCCUGGGAUGCCGGUGGAAACUGUCGGGCUAGAGUCCGGGAGAGGCGAGUGGAAUUCCUGGUGUAGCGGUGAAAUGCGCAGAUAUCAGGAGGAACACCAAUGGCGAAGGCAGCUCGCUGGAACGGUACUGACGCUGAGACGCGAAAGCGUGGGGAGCAAACAGG
rnacentral:rRNA from 1 species